AUUAGUAUUAGUUAUGAUCUUGAAAAUUAAAAGAUUUGGCGGUAUUUUAGUCUUUUCAGAGGAACUUGCUCUGUAAUUGAUAAUCCACGAUUUAAUUAAUCUUAUUUUUUAGCUUAUAUAUCGUUGUUUAAAAAAUUUUUAAAAAAUAUUAAUUUUUAAGAUUUUUAUUAAAAAAUAAAUCAGAUCAAGAUGUAGUUUAUAUUAAGAUAGAAGUGAGUUACAUUGAUUUUAUAAUAAUGAUUUAUAUUAGAAUAAUAUAAUGAUUUUGGAUUUGAAUGUAAAUUUAAUUAAUUAAUUAAAUUGAUUUAGCUCUAAAUUAUGUACACAUC
rnacentral:rRNA from 1 species